AUGGACUGAUGCCUCAUAUUUAAAACAUGGGUUAGGGUUAUAGAUCAGCUUACUGAUAAUUAGCAUGUUACACAAUAUAUAAUAUUUUUUUUUAGAAUUUUAAGUUUAAUCGUAGUGAAUUCAUUCUAUAAUUGAUUACAUAUGUGUCCUGACAUGUCUCAAUCUCCCCCCAGCGUCCUCAUUACCUCUGUCACCCCCCCUACCGUAAGCCAGGACUUCAUGAUGACAUUUUUGAAGCACCUCCUCCAUACAAUUAUCCUAAUGAUGCACGCUUGGGUGGUAUCCAAGCAGGAUCUCCGAAUUUUCCCAGAUCCCAUAAUUUUAACGAUGAGAUGUCAGCAGAAGGAGAAGAGAAUUGAACACAGCCUACAGAUGAUCUUCUCAUCUCCCCCAUCCAGACAUGUAGGCUACAACUGAGAUGUUAAAAGAGUGAAGAACUUGGAAAAUUUGCAAAACUUAGGUUUCAAUAUGUGUGUUUUUAGCUGUUUAAUAAAAAAACAUCUUUAUAUAAUUUAAUAAGAGUA
rnacentral:lncRNA from 1 species